GACGAACGCUGGCGGCGUGCCUAAUACAUGCAAGUUGAGCGCUGAAGGUUGGUACUUGUACCAACUGGAUGAGCAGCGAACGGGUGAGUAACGCGUGGGGAAUCUGCCUUUGAGCGGGGGACAACAUUUGGAAACGAAUGCUAAUACCGCAUAAAAACUUUAAACACAAGUUUUAAGUUUGAAAGAUGCAAUUGCAUCACUCAAAGAUGAUCCCGCGUUGUAUUAGCUAGUUGGUGAGGUAAAGGCUCACCAAGGCGAUGAUACAUAGCCGACCUGAGAGGGUGAUCGGCCACAUUGGGACUGGGACACGGCCCAAACUCCUACGGGAGGCAGCAGUAGGGAAUCUUCGGCGAUGGACGAAAGUCUGACCGAGCAACGCCGCGUGAGUGAAGAAGGUUGUCGGAUCGUAAAACUCUGUUGGUAGAGAAGAACGUUGGUGAGAGUGGAAAGCUCAUCAAGUGACGGUAACUACCCAGAAAGGGACGGCUAACUACGUG
rnacentral:rRNA from 1 species